GUCUGUUGGGUGCUUCUUUCAGCUGCUGGAUUGAAGGAAAGUUCUGGUCUGCCUGGGCACACGGGAUGCUGGAGGUCCCUGCAGUGCCAAGGCCACACGCCCAGGUUCUUAAGCACCAGCUUAGAGAUUGAAGCGCCCUGCUGUCCCUCCAGGACUUCUGAACUUCACCAGCAUGACACACUAUUUAUCUCUGCUCCCUUCAAUUAGGAGCAGGAAGCAGAGAAUUGAGCACUGGGCUCAUUUUUAGCUGUGCCAAACUGAUGACCCAGCUUCUUGCCUAUAAAUCAAUGUAGAUGUGCUCAUUUAUGCUCUGUCAGAAAUUGGUUCAUUAGCUAGAAUUAAACAGAGGCCCAAACCAUGCCAUUUAAACUUGAACAGUGCUCUUGAACACCCUGUUCUGCCCUGGAUCUGGGAUUUGCUUGGUGCCUUCCUAUAUUUAGCAUACAGUAAUGUAAUUGAAGCAAUAAAAUUAGACCCACAAAUAGACUGGUUUCUCAGUACUUAAUCAAGGACCUUUUCCUAGAACUGCAGAGGGCUGAAAUUAAAAGAAAGGAAUGUGUGGUAAUCAGCCCCAUGGAGGCAGGAGGAAACCACCAUGAGUUUAAACUCCAAACACACACUCUGGCCAGCUGAAUGUACCCUUGUUUAAAUUAAAUGUGGCUUUACAGUGACCCAGGCCAGGGUCACACUGCACGAACCACUUGAGAAUGCACAGCCCACGUACAGGGAAUUAGUGAGCAGAUACAAAUCACGGUCUGUGAGUCACUGAACAAUAAGAAUGUCCUUGGAGCCCCCAUCUAUAAUGGAUGAAGGAAACAAUAGCUCCAAGAUACCUCUGCAAUGACAGGUACCUCUGCAGCAAUGCUAAUCUGUCAGUCCUGUCAGUUUGUCAACAGCAACAGGUAAAGAAGUGACUGAAAGACAAACCCAGUGUGCAAAGUGCAAAAUGCAUAAAGCAGGCAGCAGUCACAUUGCAGCUGGAAAAAUGGCAGGAGCCUGCAGCACAGCACUCAUUUAGAUUCACUAAUAACAGGUCUUAGAAGAUAAACUGGAAGACUUCAUUUUAUGGCUUUUUCUUCUGAAUAACUUAAUUUUUACUGGGGGAGUGCUAAAUAGGAGAAUUAAAUUUAAAAAGUUAUUUUCUAUUA